rnacentral:tRNA from 1 species
GUGUCUGUGAUGCAGUUGGUUAGCACGUUAGACUCUAAAUCUAAAGUUUGGUGGUUCGAGCCCCCCCCCCCCGGGACU